rnacentral:rRNA from 1 species
UGGGGAAUAUUGCACAAUGGGCGAAAGCCUGAUGCAGCAACGCCGCGUGAGUGAUGAAGGUCUUCGGAUUGUAAAGCUCUGUCUUUUGGGACGAUAAUGACGGUACCAAAGGAGGAAGCCACGGCUAACUACGUGCCAGCAGCCGCGGUAAUACGUAGGUGGCGAGCGUUGUCCGGAUUUACUGGGCGUAAAGGGUGCGUAGGCGGAUGUUUAAGUGAGAUGUGAAAUACCCGGGCUUAACUUGGGUGCUGCAUUUCAAACUGGAUAUCUAGAGUGCAGGAGAGGAGAAUGGAAUUCCUAGUGUAGCGGUGAAAUGCGUAGAGAUUAGGAAGAACACCAGUGGCGAAGGCGAUUCUCUGGACUGUAACUGACGCUGAGGCACGAAAGCGUGGGUAGCAAACAGGAUUAGAUACCCUGGUAGUCCACGCCGUAAACGAUGAGUACUAGGUGUAGGAGGUAUCGACCCCUUCUGUGCCGCAGUAAACACAUUAAGUACUCCGCCUGGGAAGUACCGAUCGCAAGAUUAAAACUCUAAAGUGAAUU